rnacentral:rRNA from 1 species
GAUGAACGCUAGCUACAGGCUUGACACAUGCAAGUCGAGGGGUAACGAGAGGAAAGCUUGCUUUCCUUGUCGACGACCGGCGCACGGGUGAGUAACGCGUAUCCAACCUGCCCCCAACUAGGGAAUAACCUUGCGAAAGUAAGACUAAUACCCUAUAAUUUCCUCAGAUGUCAUCUGACGAGGAAUAAAGAUUUAUCGUUUGUGGAUGGGGAUGCGUCUGAUUAGCUUGUUGGCGGGGUAACGGCCCACCAAGGCAAGGAGCAGUAGGGGUUCUGAGAGGAAGGUCCCCCACAUUGGAACUGAGACACGGUCCAAACUCCUACGGGAGGCAGCAGUGAGGAAUAUUGGUCAAUGGGCGGAAGCCUGAACCAGCCAAGUGGCGUGCAGGAUGACGGCCCUAUGGGUUGUAAACUGCUUUUAUACAGGAAUAAAGUUAGCCACGUGUGGUUAUUUGUAGGUACUGUAUGAAUAAGGACCGGCCAAUUCCGUGCCAGCCGCCGCGUAA